AGCCUGUUCUAUAAUCGAUGAUCCACGAUUCACCUCACCAUUUUUCGCCUCCCCCAGCCUGUAUACCUCCGUCUCCAGCUUACCAUCUGAAUGCUACAAAGUAAGUGCAAUGGGCUAAUACCCCAAUACGUCAGGUCAAGGUGCAGCUUAUAAAAUGGGAAGCAAUGGGCUACAAUUUCUAAUAUAGAACAAACGAAAAACUAUGUGAAACUUAGUUAUGAAGGCGGAUUUAGCAGUAAAAGAAGAACAGCAAGCUUCUUUUAACCGAGCUCU
rnacentral:rRNA from 1 species